AGCAGCCGCGGUAAUUCCAGCUCCAAUAGCGUAUAUUAAAGUUGUUGCAGUUAAAAAGCUCGUAGUUGAAUUUCGGGAUUGGCGCAUCGGUCGUGCCUUACGGGGUAUGAACUGGUGCAGUCAAUUUCUCACCUUCUGGAGAACCGCGAUGUCCUUAAUUGGGUGCCGCGGGGAACCAGGACCUUUACUUUGAAAAAUUAGAGUGUUUAAAGCAGGCAUUUUUGCUUGAAUACAUUAGCAUGGAAUAAUAAAAUAGGACGGCAUGGUUCUAUUUUGUUGGUUUCUAGGACCACCGUAAUGAUUAAUAGGGAUAGUUGGGGGCAUUAGUAUUCAAUUGUCAGAGGUGAAAUUCUUGGAUUUAUUGAAGACUAACUACUGCGAAAGCAUUUGCCAAGGAUGUUUUCAUUAAUCGAGAACGAAAGUUAGGGGAUCGAAGACGAUCAGAUACCG
rnacentral:rRNA from 1 species